GUUUGAUCCUGGCUCAGAGCGAACGCUGGCGGCAGGCCUAACACAUGCAAGUCGAACGGACCCUUCGGGGUUAGUGGCGACCGGGUGAGUAACACGUGGGAACGUGCCUUUAGGUUCGGAAUAGCUCCUGGAAACGGGUGGUAAUGCCGAAUGUGCCCUUCGGGGGAAAGAGUUUAUCGACCUUUAGAGCGGCCCGCGUCUGAUUAGCUAGUUGGUGAGGUAAUGGCUCACCAAGGCGACGAUCAGUAGCUGGUCUGAGAGGAUGACCAGCCACAUUGGGACUGAGACACGGCCCAAACUCCUACGGGAGGCAGCAGUGGGGAAUCUUGCGCAAUGGGCGAAAGCCUGACGCAGCCAUGCCGCGUGAAUGAUGAAGGUCUUAGGAUUGUAAAAUUCUUUCUACCGGGGACGAUAAUGACGGUACCCGGAGAAGAAGCCCCGGCUAACUUCGUGCCAGCAGCCGCGGUAAUACGAAGGGGGCUAGCGUUGCUCGGAAUUACUGGGCGUAAAGGGCGCGUAGGCGGACAUUUAAGUCAGGGGUGAAAUCCCAGAGCUCAACUCUGGAACUGCCUUUGAUACUGGGUGUCUUGAGUGUCGAGAGAGGU
rnacentral:rRNA from 1 species